rnacentral:rRNA from 1 species
AGAGGGGGCCAGCGUUAUUCGGAAUUAUUGGGCGUAAAGGGCGCGUAGGCGGCCAUGCGUGUCUUCCGUGAAAUCCCUCGGCUUAACUGAGGACGUGCGGAAGAAACUGCAAGGCUCGAGUCCGGGAGAGGGGGGUGGAAUUCCCAGUGUAGCGGUGAAAUGCGUAGAUAUUGGGAGGAACACCGGUGGCGAAGGCGGCCCCCUGGACCGGUACUGACGCUGAGGCGCGAAAGCGUGGGUAGCAAACGGGAUUAGAUACCCCGGUAGUCCACGCCGUAAACGAUGGGCACUUGGUGUCGCGGGUAUCGACCCCUGCGGUGCCGAAGCUAACGCAUUAAGUGCCCCGCCUGGGGAGUACGGUCGCAAGGCUGAA